ACAAACAAAACUUUACCAUCUUGUCGAUUCAGCCAAAGGGAAAGAAAGACAGCCAGUUAAUUCUCAGUAUUGCAUGCCAGCCUAAAGGAGCAUAGUGUGAACAGGACAGCUGUGUUCAGCUCUGGUUUGAGUUUUGGUCAGUUCUUGCACUGACUCCACAAGUGAGCUAAUAAUGUGCCUAGCCAUUUCUUGAGCCUUUUUAAGGAGACGGGCACGGGUACAAACCUCCCAAGAUGAUUCCUGAAAUAACUUGAUUCCUUUGCUUUAAGUUAUGACUCUUCAAGUAGUUCAUAAAAAUUUUCUUAAAAUUUGUAAGUAAGUUUUCUUAAUUUUUUAACUUCAGGGAAGACAUACAAGGAAUUUGCAUAAGACAGCUGUGCAAAAUGGGGCCGGAGGAGCCUUAUUUGUGCAUAGAGAUACUCCUGAGAAUAACCCAGAUACUCCAUUUGAUUUCACACCAGAAAACUAUAAGAGGAUAGAGGCAAUAGUGAAAAACUACCCAGAAGGGCAUAAAGCAGCAGCUGUGCUUCCAGUCCUGGAUCUAGCCCAAAGGCAGAAUGGAUGGUUGCCCAUAUCUGCUAUGAACAAGGAAAACAGGCAUCAGUGUGAAAGAGGUUUCUGUCUGCCCCGCCAUCAUCCUGUGUCCUUCCGUGCUCCCUCCCCCAACCUUUGAAGGGAAAUAAUCUUAAUGAAAAAAAUCUCAAAUGUGUAUAAUUUAGUAUGAAGGCAUUUUCAAAAUUAAUGCAAUGUUUUAACACUAAAAUUACAGUGUGUGGGGGUGUGAAUAUCCCUUACUAAAUGUCAUCUCUUAAUAUUUUGACAUCUUUGUUGUAAUCUUUAAUAAAAGUCUGUAUGUAAUAUAUGGUAUGUAUGACAUUUCUCAC